UACGGAGGGUGCGAGCGUUGUCCGGAAUCAUUGGGCGUAAAGGGCGCGUAGGUGGCGGGACAAGCGUGCGGUGAAAGCCUGGGGCUCAACCCCGGGUCGGCCGUGCGAACUGUUUUGCUUGAGCACUGUAGAGGCAGGCGGAAUUCCGGGUGUAGCGGUGGAAUGCGUAGAGAUCCGGAAGAACACCGGUGGCGAAGGCAGCCUGCUGGGCAGUAGCUGACACUGAGGCGCGACAGCGUGGGGAGCAAACAGG
rnacentral:rRNA from 1 species